rnacentral:misc_RNA from 1 species
ACAUUGCCCGGCCAGGGAUAGAAACGGAAAGCCCGAAGUGCGUGGGCCCCUCGGAAUCGGACUUGGAGUGGAUAGCCCGACCGAAC